UGAAUCAAACAAAAAUUUGAUAUAUUAAUUGAUAAUGAAAAAGCAUUGUUAGUUGUAGCCUUAUGUGGAAACCAUUCAGAUUAAAGAACUUAAUAGAGGUAUAGUCUGUUCUAGUUUUUAAACUAUAGUUUCCUACAGGACAUGAGUAGAAUUGAAAUUGAUCAAUAUCUUUUGCACAUUAUUGGAUACCUAAUAGGAAAGGAUCACUCAUUCUCUAGCUGUGAAGCACUUAUUGUGUUAUAAUCUCCCAAUAUUAAUGCUGUGCCUAAUGGUCUGACUGAGAAUGCAUGAGUUCCUCUCCAUGAAAGGCUGAGCUGGUUUUCCUGUCAAGAAACGACACUCUGCUUUACAUGCAGCUAGAUGAGAUAUCAUGUAACAUUAGAAUUGAACUGCAGUCACGUAGGAGCUGUUUUAUCUUCCUAUCAGCUCAGUUAUCCUGAGUCUCAGGAAACAGCAGAUACUCGCUAUGUCUUCUUAACACUUGCUGUAUCUGGCCAUGUUGUGUGCUUUCUACAGAAAAGCAGAAGGAACAUAUAAAGAUUCACCAUAAUGAGAAAAUAAAUUGUCAUGGCCCAAAAUAUUGCAGAGUACAACCAGCAUUUACUGUCUGGUUAUGCAAAACACUCCUUAACACCAGAAGCAUCAACAUCCAAUCAGGCCUGUAAUUAAACGUCUCAUCAAAUCUAUUUUCCUCUCCAGUCAUUUCAAUCCAAUCAUCCAGCAGGAUUAUUGGAGCGCAGUGGGAGGGAGUACACAGCACAGAGCUUGUCCAAGAUGGAGGAGCUUCCUGUCGUUUCUCAGUGAAGUGAAUGUGAGGGCAGACGGCAGGAGCUGGACGAUGCUGGCUGCUGGAGCCAGUCCAGUCACUGUAUUGGCAAAGAGGGAGAGAGAGGCCCCCUGACAGAAGGACCACAGGACAAGGACACAUUCCUCUUUUCCAUACAACACGACAACUAAACUCAUCUGAGCUGUUUUCAUUACAACUAACUCACAUAUACGAGAAGAAGAUCCAAGCAAAGCCUGAAGAGAAGACACUGUGGGCUAAAUCAGUGAUUUCAUGCUUGCCUCCAAAAGACCACAGCUAUCCAAAGCAAUGAGCUUCACUGGAGGGUAACCCCGACUGUGCAGGUGCCCCCAACCAGGAAGAAUACCAGCAGUGACAGGACGAGAACCCUCACUGGCUUCCCACCCGUGAACACAGCCAUUUGUUUUUCUUGGAACACAUGACCACCACCACCACCACCACCACCGGGUACCAAACCCAGGGUCUUUUUUCUUUUUGUCUGACAGACCUACAUUCUGUACAUACUGAUGUACAGAAGCUGCACUUCUACUGAUACAAAUAUCAUAUUCUACCUCAUACUGACACUAUAAUAUUAUAUAUAGGACUUACAAAUACAGAAGUUUCAAUCUGUGAAACACAUUUUGUGUGUUUUCAUGAUUAGAGACAAAUUAGCACAUUGCCUGACUUACAAUUUAAUAUGAUCUGACUGUAUGCUGAAAUUAUUAGGGAAAUAUGCUGAUUUAGUCAACUAUUUUUUGUUUGAAUAAAAUUAAUCUAAAAAUGUGUUUACUUGCCAAGAUUUCCUUACAUCCCUUUGGGUUCUAGUAACUUUUAAUUGUCAUGUGUUACUAAUAUUACGGUUUGAGAUUGAUUGAUUCUGAUAAACAUGUCAUCAAAGUACUAAGCUGAGUAGAAAGAAGAAGUGUGAGGC